rnacentral:rRNA from 1 species
GACGAACGCUGGCGUCGUGCUUAACACAUGCAAGUCGAGCUGAGCGGCGAACGGGUGAGUAACGCGUGAGUACCUGCCCCCCUCUCUGGGAUAACAGUUGGAAACGGCUUCUCAUACCGGAUAGUGGGGGAUGACUCGCGUCCUAUCAGCUUGUUGGUGGGGUAGUGGCCGACCAAGGCGACGACGGGUAGCCGGCCUGAGAGGGCGCCCGGCCAAAUGGGGCUGAGAGACGGCCCAAACUCCUACGGGAGGCAGCAGUGGGGAAUAUGGCACAAUGGGGGAAACCAUGAGGAAGCAACGCCGCGGGCGGGAUGACGGCCUUAGGGGUGUAAACCGCUUUCAGCCAUGACGCGGUAGUGGCAGAAGAAGCACCGGCUAACUACGUGCCAGCAGCCGCGGUAAUUC